rnacentral:rRNA from 1 species
CCUACGGGAGGCAGCAGUGGGGAAUAUUGGGCAAUGGGCGCAAGCCUGACCCAGCAACGCCGCGUGAAGGAAGAAGGCUUUCGGGUUGUAAACUUCUUUUGUCAGGGACGAAGCAAGUGACGGUACCUGACGCAUACGCCACGGCUAACUACGUGCCAGCCGCCGCGGUAAUACGUAGGUGGCAAGCGUUAUCCGGAUGUACUGGGUGUAAGGGGCGUGUAGGCGGGGCAGCAAGUCAGAUGUGAAAACCACGGGCUCAACCUGUGGGCUGCAUUUGAAACUGUUUUGCUUGAGUGCUGGAGAGGCGAGUGGAAUUCCGUGUGUAGCGGUGAAAUGCGUAGAUAUACGGAGGAACACCAGUGGCGAAGGCGGAUUGCUGGACAGUAACUGACGCUGAGGCGCGAAAGCGUGGGGAGCAAACAGGAUUAGAUACCCUAGUAGUC